rnacentral:rRNA from 1 species
UACAGAGGUCCCAAGCGUUGUUCGGAUUCAUUGGGCGUAAAGGGUGCGUAGGCGGCGCGGUAAGUCGGGUGUGAAAUCUCGGAGCUUAACUCCGAAACUGCAUUCGAUACUGCCGUGCUUGAGGACUGGAGAGGAGACUGGAAUUUACGGUGUAGCGGUGAAAUGCGUAGAUAUCGUAAGGAAGACCAGUGGCGAAGGCGGGGUCUCUGGACAGUUCCUGACGCUGAGGCACGAAGGUCAGGGGAGCAAACGGG